rfam:Pteropus alecto contig6766, whole genome shotgun sequence.
GGUUCCAUAAAGUAGUGGUUAGUACAUCUGCUUUAGAUGCAGAAGAUCCUGGGUUCAAGCCCCAGUAGAGCCA